GUAAAUAAUAAAGGGCGUAUGGUGGAUGCCUAGGCUCUCAGAGGCGAUGAAGGACGUGAUAAGCUGCGAAAAGCUCCGUUUAGGUGCAAAUAACCUUUGAUGCGGAGAUCUCCGAAUGGGAUAACCCAAUAUGUUGAAGACAUAUUAUACCGUAAGGUAGGCAAACGCAGGGAACUGAAACAUCUAAGUACCUGCAGGAGAAGAAAACAAACGUGAUUCCCCCAGUAGCGGCGAGCGACCGGGGAUAAGCCCAAACCGUUAUUGUUUCGGCAGUAGCGGGGUAGUAGGACUGCGACAUUGAUGAAAUAAAUGAAAUGGAACACUUUGGAAAAUGUGAUCACAGAGGGUGAUAAUCCCGUACAUGUAAGUUUAUGAAUCAUAGCAGAAUCCUGAGUAAGUCGGGACACGUGUAAUCCUGACCGAAUCCGCCGGGACCAUCCGGCAAGGCUAAAUACUCCUGAGAGACCGAUAGUGAACCAGUACCGUGAGGGAAAGGUGAAAAGCACUUCGAACAGAAGAGUGAAAUAGUCCCUGAACCCAUACGCCUACAAGCAGUCGGAGCCGCUUCGUGCGGUGACGGCGUGCCUUUUGCAUAAUGAGCCUACGAGUUACUCAUCACCAGCGAGGUUAAGUACUUCAGGUACGUAAGCCGAAGCGAAAGCGAGUCUGAAUAGGGCGUCAAGUUGGUGGUGGUAGACGCGAAACCUUAGUGAUCUACCCAUGGGCAGGGUGAAGGUUUGGUAACACAAACUGGAGGCCCGAACCGGUAAACGUUGAAAAGUUUUCGGAUGACCUGUGGGUAGGGGUGAAAGGCCAAUCAAACUGGGAAAUAGCUCGUACUCUCCGAAAUGCAUUUAGGUGCAGCCUCUGUUGUUUUGUUCUAGAGGUAGAGCUACUGAUUGGAUGCGAGGGCUUCACCGCCUAUCAAAUCCGGCCAAACUCCGAAUGCUAGAACAUGAAGACAGGGAGUGAGCCAGCGGGUGCUAAGGUCCGUUGACGAAAGAGGGAGAACUCAGACCAUCAGCUAAGGUCCCCAAUUAUAUGCUAAGUUGGAAUAAAAACGGGGUGGGACUGCUUAGACAGCUAGGAUGUUGGCUUGGAAGCAGCCAUUCAUUUAAAGAGUGCGUAACAGCUCACUAGUCGAGCGGUCCUGCAUGGAUAAUACGCGGGCAUAAGCAUAUAACCGAAGCUAUGGGAUUGUAGAUGAUACAAUCGGUAGGAGAGCAUUCCAUUCAGCAUAGAAGCAGUAUCGUGAGGUAUUGUGGAGCGGAUGGAAAAGCAAAUGUAGGCAUAAGUAACGAUAAUGCGGGUGAGAACCCCGCACGCCGAAAGAUCAAGGAUUCCCCGGCAAUGUCAAUCAUCCGGGGGUAAGUCGGAUCCUAAGGGUAAGCCGAGUGGCGAUCCCGAUGGCAAACAGGUUAAUAUUCCUGUACUGAUCAUAACUGCGAUGCAGCGACGCAGAGGUGACACUGCUGCGUACUGACGGAAUAGUACGUUGAAACCCGUAUUCUUUGAUACCGGUAGUGAAGCACGCCGGUAGAGAUGAAAGGUGAUAGUACCGCAAUGCUUCGGUUGCGCGGAUAAUGCAGGUAAGCUGACUGCCAAGAAAACCUGCUAAGCUUCAGGUAAUGAUCAUCCGUACUGUAAACGGACACACGUGAUCAGGUAGAAAAUACUAAGGCGCUCGAGAGAUUCAUGGUUAAGGAACUAGGCAAAAUGGUCCUGUAACUUCGGGAUAAAGGACGCUCUUGUGAAAGAGCCGCAGAUAAUAGGCCCAGGCGACUGUUUACCAAAAACACAUGGCUAUGCUAAUUCGCAAGAAGAUGUAUAUGGCCUGACACCUGCCCGGUGCCGGAAGGUUAAGAGGAGAGCUCAGAUGUAAGUCGAAGGUUUGAAUUGAAGCCCCGGUAAACGGCGGCCGUAACUAUAACGGUCCUAAGGUAGCGAAAUUCCUUGUCGGGUAAGUUCCGACCUG
rnacentral:rRNA from 1 species